rnacentral:lncRNA from 1 species
GUAAGAUUUUUAUUUUUUCUAUUAAAGUUGAUUUAGAAUAUUCUGUCAAUUUCUGCUGUACAGCAAAGAGACCCAUUCAUAUACAUAUAUACAUAUACACACAUUAUUUUUCUCACAUUAUCCUCCAGCAUGUUCCAUCACAAGUGACAAGGUAUAGUUCCCUGCGCUAUGCAGCAGGAUCUCACUCAAGGUGCUCCAUCUUUCCAUUCCCAGCACCAGCACAGAGGCUGGCACAGAAUAGACAUUCGUAGUUUACUGAGUGAAUAAGGAAAAUCAUUUGUGUCCGAGAGACUCCCGCACAAAGGGGAACUGUGUUAUUCGUCUUUGCAUCUCACUGCCUAGCACAGUGCCUGCCCAGGACAGAAUCUCCAGUGCGUAGUAGAUUGGGAAGGUUGUCAAAAUGAACGAAGACAAUGGAGGGCAGUAGGAUGUGCAGAACAGAGGCCGCCUGCCCAUCUAAAGAGGAGAAUGGCCCUCAGCUCCUGCCCACUGUUGGCACCUAAGAACCCAAGCCUACUGUGGCUAGAUUGUCUGUUUUGUCAAGAGAACAGAGAAGCUGUGAUGCUCACAUAAAAUUUCUCUGUACCAAACAACUUAUCUGUACCCAAAUCCCAUCUACUGGUCUGCUCCUUGCCUCAAUAGAUGCGCCACAACAGGCCAGUGGCUAAGAGACAAGCAUCCCAGGUUUACUCCCCUUCAGUGUGAACUGGGACUUGGUCGUGGGAGCCCCCGCAUUGUGUCUGCAUUUCCACAGGGUUCGCCCUGGCUUCAGAAGCAGGGACUCUAAGGGGCUCGCAUCCCUCUUCAUCUGUCUCAAGGUCUAAGUGGUUCCAAAUCACUGCUCUAAUCCAGGUUCUACCUGGGUUUCUAUUCCCUUAAGACCAGCUACAGCUUUAUAAACUAGCAAGCUGUGUGUCAAAGCUGGUUCCCAGAGUUAAGCACACAUUUGCUUGUGGCAUAGGUCUUCUUUAUCCAUUUGUGGAGCCGUCCUUCCACUGGCUGGUAUCUUUCUCUCUACCAACCAACAGGCUUGUUUGUGCGUAGUGAGACCAAUGGGAAGAUGAGGGCGUGGAUUGACUGUAGGCAAACUGAUGCCUCAAAGGCACCCCCCUGUGCUCUGAGAUAUAAAAUAUCUCUCUUGUUGAAGCACUGAGCAGACCUCUUUCUCUCACCAGCAAUCCCAAGGAAUCAGAAGCCAUUGAUGUGUGUCCUCAAUUUAAAUUGUUUUGUCACUGUGCAUUACGAUGUAAUUAUCUGCAUUAAAUUCAUUAACCAUUGUACCACCUAAUUAUCCUAUGUUUGCAGAGAUUUGAGAAUUCAUGGCAUUUCUCUUCCUGAGCAAAAUCAUUUUGUACAGGCCACACUUCUGUCUCUGUGCCUGGCCAAAGCUUCGAGGUGGCAAGUAUGCAGAGUCACAGAAGAACAGCCUGGGAAGCUCAGGAAUCGACUCGGUCUGGACAGGGGAGAAACAAUGAAAGAAGGGCAGCCUGGAGCCCAGAGACCAGAGGGUGGCCUGCUCUUGCCUUCAGCUCAGACCCAGGCUCCCGUCUCCUUCUGCCUGAACUUAUGACAUGGCUUAAGCCUGGCUACCUCCCAGCAGCCCCCAGUGCUACUUUCUUUUCUUUUCUUUUCUUUUCUUUUUUCCUGUCUAUUGUCUUUUUAGCGGCAUAUGGAGGUUCCCAGGCUAGGGGCAAAUCAGAGCUGUAGCUGCCGGCCUACACCAGAGCCACAGCAACGCCAGAUCCGAGCCACAUCUGCGACCUACACACAGCUCACGGCAACACAGGAUCCUUAACCCAGUGAGCAAGGCCAGGGAUCGAACCUGGGUCCUCAUGAAUACUAGUCAGGUUCGUUAACCACUGAGCCACGAGGGAAACCCCCUCUUAGAAUUUCUAAUCCCCCCUUGAUCCUUCUCAGCCUGUAGAUGGAAAACAUGUGACUUGGAGACUGAUUUUGGAAUAAUUUCACCAACUUCAGCAAGUCAUUUCACCUUUUCAAGACUCCAUUUCCUUAUUCACAAAAUACUGCACACAGUUACUGGUAGGGAUUAAACAUUUUGUAUUCAUUCUCAGCAUAGAGUAAGUGCUUAUGUUAUUUUUCUAGGGACUGCUGUAACAAAAUAUCACAAAGUGGCUUGAACAACAGAAAUUAGUUUUCUCACAGUUCUGGAGGUUCCAAGUCCAAGAUCAAGAUACCAACAGGGUUGGUUUCUGGGGAGCCCUCUCUCUCUGAACUCUAAAUGGCCAUUUUCUCAGUGUGUCCUCCUGUGGUCUGUGUCUCUGUGUGCACAAAUCCCUAAUAGAUUUUCCUCUUCUCAUAAGGACACCAGUCCUAUUGGAUGAAGUCCCACCCUUAUGACUGAUUUAACCUUAAUUGCCUCCCUAAAGGGCAAAUCUCCAAAUACAUCAAGUGCAUCAGGUGUUUGAGCUUCUAUAUAUGAAUUUUAGGGGACAUAAUUCAAGCCAUCACAGUGCUCAAUAUAAGUCUGGUCAUAUCUUUCUUCUCUUUUCUUCUAAUUGUAAAGGCAAUGAAAGAAUAAAAUGGAGGGAUAUUUUACAAUCCAUAAGCAUUAGGGUGUUAACCAAGAAUGUGCUAUGGGUGCCCAGUUGUGUCUUUAUGAAGUCUACAGUAUUUCAUGUUAGAACUGAAGACCUACAAGGAGACCUUCACAUGAGCCCAUCCUGCAGUAAACACACUAAAAAACAGAGAGGAAAAGGGAAAUCUGGACAUGGAAAACUACUGGGAAAAUCCUGGAUGCCCAGCCACCCAUUUAAAAAAGGUCAUGGAUAACAGUAAGGAUGUCGAAGAUACAUUAACAAUAGAUCAGGAGAAAAUGGAAUUGAUCAUUGAAAAUUAAUUUAAUUAAAUUUGUGGUUCACAAAAAACUACAAAUAACUACAACUAAAAAAAGAAAAGUUAGAAAAAAUAAAGUAGUAUCAAAACCCAGAUUUUAACAAUGAAGAAAGGAAUGAGAAAGGAGGACAAAAGAAAAGAGUAAAAACCUGUAAAAUCGUUCAUGGGCUACAAAGGAAAGUUAAAGGUUGAACUUGCCUAGAAAGUUUAGCAAUGACGAUUGUAGUCAGAAGAAGUGUUCAUAGCAUGUCUCAUUAAUUGACCAUAAAUUAGCUUUUAAAAAUCAGAGAGUUCCCUUUUAAAAUUCUUUAAGACAGAAAAUGACAUCUAUUAUAACCAUGUAUCAAAACAUCCAUCAAAAAUCCAAAGAGAAGACAGAGGACAAGUACACGUAAAGUGGGAUGACAGGUGACAAACACAGCAUGAUGACAA